rnacentral:lncRNA from 1 species
AAUGUUGUGGUUCUUGGUUCCUGAUAGGCCCCUCAAGGCUGAACCUCCUCACAUGUUGGAGCUUUAAAGAUACAGCUGUAUCAGGCCAGGCGUGGUGACUCAUGCCUGUAAUCCCAGCACUUUGGGAGACCGAGGAGGGCGAUCGAGACCAUCCUGACUAACAUGGUGAAACCCCAUCUCUUCUAAAAAUACAAAAAAUUAGCCAGACUUGGUGGUGUACGCCUGUAGUCCCAGCUACUCAGGGGGCUGAGGCAGGAGAAUCGCUUGAACCCAGGAGGUGGAGGUUGCAGUGAGCUGAGAUCGCGCCACUGCACUCCAGCUUGGGCGACAGAGCGAGACUCCAUCUAAAAAAUACAGCUGUAUCAAAUCUGCUUGUGCUUUGGCCAUCUGAGAGAUCUUAAGUGUGCAAUGCAAUGAGGAUGGAGCAACGUAUACACCAAUCAAGAGAAAGAACAUGUCCAUUACCCCAAAAAGUUCUCUUACACCCGCUUCCAGGUGAUGCCCCUGGCAACCAUGAGUUUGGCUUGUAGCAUCAAGACUUUACCUGUUCUUGAAUUUCAAUAUAUGGAACCAGGCAGGAGCAUAAUUCAGCUUCUUUGAUUCACA